GAGCCUAUAGCUCAGCCUGGUUAGAGCACCGGUCUUAUAAGCCGGGGGUCUUCAGUUCAAAUCUGAAUAGGCUCA
rnacentral:tRNA from 1 species